rfam:Pelodiscus sinensis unplaced genomic scaffold scaffold418, whole genome shotgun sequence.
UCCCUGAUGGUCUAGUGGCUAGGAUUCAGCACUUUUGCUGCUUUGGCCUGGGUUUGAUUCCCAGUCAGGGAA